rnacentral:rRNA from 1 species
UGGGGAAUAUUGGGCAAUGGGCGAAAGCCUGACCCAGCAACGCCGCGUGAGUGAUGAAGGACUUCGGGUUGUAAAACUCUUUGGACAGGGACGAAGAAAGUGACGGUACCUGUAGAACAAGCCACGGCUAACUACGUGCCAGCAGCCGCGGUAAUACGUAGGUGGCGAGCGUUAUCCGGAAUUAUUGGGCGUAAAGGGUACGGAGGUGGUCUAUUAAGUCAGGUGUCAAAGCGUGGAGCUUAACUCCAUUAAGCACUUGAAACUGAAAGACUUGAGUGAAGGAGAGGAAAGUGGAAUUCCUAGUGUAGCGGUGAAAUGCGUAGAGAUUAGGAGGAAUACCGGUGGCGAAGGCGACUUUCUGGACUUUUACUGACGCUCAGGUACGAAAGCGUGGGGAGCAAACAGG